rnacentral:rRNA from 1 species
ACGUAGGUGGCAAGCGUUAUCCGGAUUUAUUGGGUUUAAAGGGUGCGUAGGCGGCUUUUUAAGUCGGUGGUUAAAGGUAGCAGCUCAACUGUUUUACAUGCCAUCGAAACUGAGAAGCUUGAGUUAUCAGGAGGCAGGCGGAAUUUCUGGUGUAGCGGUGAAAUGCAUAGAUACCAGAAGGAACACCUAUUGCGAAGGCAGCUUGCUGUAGAUAUACUGACGCUGAUGCACGAAAGCGUGGGGAUCAAACAGG